AAUAUAAGUCAAGUCCACAUAAAUACUGACUUCACCAGCAGAGGGAGCCUUAGAGUCUGACAGGAGGGAGAAGAGAAAACAGAAGAAGAAUACACUGCAGACCAGGCAGAUGGUGUGUGUUUCUUUACUAACUUCUCCAUGGAGAAUAACAUCACACCUGUGAAUCUCUGGGUGAAGUCCACGGAGCGUGUCUCCAGCGAGGACUCCUCGGCUCGGGACGUCCGCAGGUAGGCGCAGCAGGUGGCCGUGAG